rnacentral:lncRNA from 1 species
AAAAUAUUAGUUUUGUCUCAUUUCUUAAUCAUAUGUUUAUUAGAGAUGAAAAGAUGAGAAAUGUUGGAAAAUAUUUUCACAUCUCUACCCUAGGAUAAUAUUAUCCAGCAUUGGAGAGAAAAUGAAUGAAAAGAAGUUGCCUGAGAAAAUAUUUCACUAUAUCCGGAGAAAAUGUACUUUUUCUCUCACUUUCCAUUAAAGUAAAUGCACCCUAAUGAGAAGACAUAGUGAUUGUCCAUUACAAAGACAAUGCUUCCUCUCUUAGGAAGAAAGAGGCCGACGGCCCUCCAUGAGGCAGCAACGCCAGCUUCACCGGAGCUUCAGCAGCUUCGGCUUCACUUAGUGGGCCAUGAUUGAAGGUAAUAUCUGUUCUAGCAAAACCAGGACACACAGAAUUGAUGCAGAAGCGCGAGUAUUUCUUCGCUGCAAGCCAAGUAUGCGCGUUGAGAGCUGCCUUCGACACUUUGUAGGCUGCAAAGUGUGGAGGCCAUUGAUUCUCUUCAAGUUUCCCCUCUUUGAAGCUGUUGAUAAAUUGUUGCACAACUUCAUCCACUCUUUCUUCUGUUAGGCUGUCUUUGCUGCUAAACACUCCCUUUGCCCAUUCAUUUGUUUGAAACUGAUCAAGAUAUAAUAUUAAUCAAUCAUCAAUCACAAGCAUCAUUUUACAUUUACUAGCAGAAAGAGGGUACGUAAUACGCAUAACUAAUGUUAAUUUAUUUAAUAAAGUAAAAAAAUUAUAUUUAUUAUAUUUAACUUGUAAUUAAUAAUUUGGUUGAUAAAUUUAUCAUGAGAAUAUAAGGGAUCGAUAACAGAAAUUUCUCUUUUUAAUUUUUUUUUUCUUAAAUUUCCUUCCUCUUCCAUAAAAAGUAAUCUACCAUAUUCUCAUUCCUUCUUUUCACUCUAAAGAGGGCUAGGAGAAAUGUGAAAUUCUAUUUUGCAGAAAAUAAGGGAGAUUUUUUUUUUUUCCUCAUGAUAAAUUUUUCAAUCAAAGAGAAAGCACUCUAGCAAUCAUCGAGCCAAAAUGAAGUGAGAAGAUUUACCACUAAGCUCCCUAAAGUGGAGGAGACAUUGACAAUUCUUGGUGAAAGAGAGAGCUGCAGCAGAGGAAUGAGGGCUUCUGUUACUCUCUUUGCACCAUAGUAGUUUGUCUCUAUGCAUUCUUCUGCGCCCUUCAAUGUCUCCACAAGCUUUCCAUUUCCUUUCAGGUGAAAUGGUUUUGACUGUAACGCAUCUUUCGAUAAUAAGUCUACGUUUGGUUGGGUGUUUUUAGAGGUUGGAAAGAGAUUCAAUUAAUUGAAUUAAUCCAUUACUAAACAUAUAUCACAAAUUGAAAUUUUUAGUUUUUUUAAUAGAGUAUAGAUUAAUAAUUUUUGAUUUUUCAAUUUUAUUUUUAUUUAAAUAUAUAUAAACAUAUUCGAAUUAUAUAUUAAAUUCAAUUUAACAAUUACUGACAGUAAAAACCGUCGGUAAAGUAAAUUCUAAUUAAUUUAUCGAGUGAUUAGGCUCUCGAUAAUUCCUCUAUAGAGAUUACUGAGUGACGCUUCUCCUCGAUAAAUUUUUUACCAACAUAAAAAAUUACGAUGGUCGUUUUUAAUCGGUAAUUUAUUACCAAGGGUUAUUUCCAAUUUAUCGACGGUAAUUUUCAUCAUUAAAAAGUUAAUUUUUUGUAGUGUAAUCCUGCAGGCCUAAAUUUGGAACUGCUGAUUUCUAUUGCAUUAAUUGUAGGUGACAUAUAGUUUUUCAAGUUAAUGUGUUUCAUGAAUACAUAAAUUUGUACAUUAAUGGAAACAAACCUUUCCAUUAGCAAGCAGUAUCUUGACAUACUCUUCAACCGCAGAAUCAUCUCCAUCCACAUCUAUUCCACUAAUUCCUGCAUUAUUCACCUGCAUAAAAUCACAAUUUUUUUUUAAUUUUCCAGCCAAAAAACAGAAUCAAGAAUUUCUUUCCAUUUGGUUGGAUUUUGGUACCAGAAUGUCAAGCCUUCCGAAUCUCGAUUUGAUGAACUCAAAAACAGCAGCAACGCUAGCAGGAUCGACAACAUCUAGUUGAUGAAAAACCACAUUUUUAUGGAAUUGUUUAAGCUUUUGUUGAGCUUCAAUGCCUCUCUUUUCAUCUCUUGAUCCUAAAAUCACCAAGAUUCCUUUGGAUGCUAACUGCUUGCAGAUUUGGAAUCCGAUUCCUUUGUUUGCUCCUGUCACCAAAGCAUACCUGAACCAACAAAAUACAAGCAAAUAAUUAAAUACAUAAAAAUAUGUAUAUAUUUAUUUCCAUAUAUUGAAUUAACCAAAUCUUUAUUAUACUGUGUUGCAUUUGCCAUUGUGUUUGCAUGUGUUACUUUUUUCCCUGUUUGAAAGGAGACUUGUAAAAGAAAACCUGCUGUUUCAAACAAGUUUUUGAUAUAUUUAGCCACAAAUUCAUUUAAAGUACUAAUCGUUUCACAAACUAUAUUUGUAUCUCACGCAUAGCUAGUAUCACUGAUUGUGACUAUACUUUCGAAGAGUAUGACAAAUAAAUUAUUGGACCAUCACAUAUGUGAUGUACAUCAAUGUACAUCACAUAAUGGAGAUAAUUUAUUUAAUUUCGACUCUAGUUGAUUCAUCGUAUAGAAGUGUCGGUCCAUCAAUAUGCAUCACAUGAUGGAGAUAUUUUAUUUUCUGACUCUAAGUUAAAUAACUGGUGUUUGUAAGAUUGAAAUAUAAUACCCCACACAUUUUCCUUAUUGGGUUGUCCCACUAUUUUAGACACAUUUCUAUUACUAGAAAUAAUUUGGUUACUAUUACUCUCUCCGCGUCCACCAAAAGUAUGACACUUUUGAUGAGCACAGGUUUUAAGAAAAUUGGUGGUGAUUUUUAUGUAGAGGAGAAAGGUCCCGCCAAAAUUUGAAAUGAGUGAUUGAGAUUGAAGUAAUGAUGAUUUUUUUUUUUGGUAAAUAAGAAGUGUUUGUAAGGAUAAAAUAUAAGAAAAAGUGGUGGAGUCAUGUCUUAAAAUAGAAAGUGUCAUACUUUUUGUGAACACCAAAAAUGGCAAAAGUGUCGUACUUUUCAUGGACGGAGGGAGUAAUAUUUAAUUUAUUUAAUUAAUCACACCAUAAACUACCUAUAAAUACCCUAAAUCUAAUCACUCGACCCAUACCCUUUCCUGGUAUCCCUCCGUCUCCCCUCCCUUCCUCUUGCGCCGCGCGCCCUCCUCUGGAACCCUAAUUUUCCGGUCGUUAUGAGUGAAAAAUAUAGAUGGGAAGCCUGUUUGAACGAUUUAUAUGUCCCCAGUUCGGAGAAUUUCGAACCCUUCGAUUCGUUGCCUCCAUUGCCCUAUUUUCUGUUUGAGAUGACCGUAGGAGACAUGCAAGAAGUCGAGGAUAUUCUUUAUAUAUAGAAGUCAAAUAAGAGAGAAUAUUAUUUUAUAAUAAUUACAUAAUGACCUAUUAAUAAUUUUCUAUAUAAAAUUAAUAGAAAUAUAUGAUUUUUAAAAAAUUAUGCUUCUAGUUCAAUGUUUCUACUACAAUAUGCGUUUUUUCUUGAAAUGUGAAAUAAUGGUAUUUACACGUGAAAUACAAAAUGAAAUUUCCCCGGCCUCCCGAUUACAUGUGGUGCGUCUACAUAUUUUAAUAUUUGGACAUGAUAAUAUUAUAAUAUUAAUCCAUCAAAGCAUUGAUAUAAUAAUACUAGAAAGAUACUAUAUACAUCAUUCUCCUAAACACAAGUAGGUAUCAACGUAAAAGCAAAAAACGUGCUUAUAUUCGAUAUGGAUCUUCAAGUACUGGUCGUGGUGUGAAGAUGUAAUGCCCCGCUCUUUUAAAUACAUAUUAGAUUAAAUAUGUGCAUUAGUUAUAAAAAUUUUUUUUAAUUAUUUAUUGUGAUUAUUUUGUUCAGAUAAUAUUAUUUCAGCAAAAGUCUGUAUAAGAGAUACAGAGCUGCGAUUUAAUAUUCAAUCAUGAAUCAAACCAAUAAUUAAAUUAUUGGUUUAGCUACACAUUGAAACUUUGCAUUACCAGUUGAUUGAUUCAAUAGUAUUAGAAAUUUUAGAAUUUAUAAUCGAUUUCAUAAAUCGUNUAAUCACACCAUAAACUACCUAUAAAUACCCUAAAUCUAAUCACUCGACCCAUACCCUUUCCUGGUAUCCCUCCGUCUCCCCUCCCUUCCUCUUGCGCCGCGCGCCCUCCUCUGGAACCCUAAUUUUCCGGUCGUUAUGAGUGAAAAAUAUAGAUGGGAAGCCUGUUUGAACGAUUUAUAUGUCCCCAGUUCGGAGAAUUUCGAACCCUUCGAUUCGUUGCCUCCAUUGCCCUAUUUUCUGUUUGAGAUGACCGUAGGAGACAUGCAAGAAGUCGAGGAUAUUCUUUAUAUAUAGAAGUCAAAUAAGAGAGAAUAUUAUUUUAUAAUAAUUACAUAAUGACCUAUUAAUAAUUUUCUAUAUAAAAUAAAUAGAAAUAUAUGAUUUUUAAAAAAUUAUGCUUCUAGUUCAAUGUUUCUACUACAAUAUGCGUUUUUUCUUGAAAUGUGAAAUAAUGGUAUUUACACGUGAAAUACAAAAUGAAAUUUCCCCGGCCUCCCGAUUACAUGUGGUGCGUCUACAUAUUUUAAUAUUUGGACAUGAUAAUAUUAUAAUAUUAAUCCAUCAAAGCAUUGAUAUAAUAAUACUAGAAAGAUACUAUAUAUAUCAUUCUCCUAAAAACAAGUAUAGUUUGCCGUUUUGGUAUGUUUUCCAAUAACAUUCACUUUCUAUUAAACACCACUCCACCUAUAAUAAAGUGAGGCCUCUUCUGAGAUUUCUCCACUCAAACACACUUAACUUACAUUUAUUAAAACUCGUGCCACCAAAAAUAUCGUAUAUUUUUAAGGGAGUAAUUUUUUUAAGUAAGGGGUGAAUAAUCAUCUCAUCUAAAAAAAUUAUGUAUUCCCCUCCAAACAAUGGUUGGUGCAGCAGAGAGAUAUAUAUCUUCACAAGUUAUAACUUCACUCAUUCCUCAAAAGAAGAGAUUUCCUUCUUCACACAAAGAAGAAGCCAGAAGGGCCAUCAUCAGGCAGCAAUGCAGCCAUCACUGCACAUCCUCGUAGUUUAAUUUGGUAAGAAAUAGUGCAUGUAAUGUAAUAAACCAAACAUGAAAGCUGGCCUACAAAUUCAUACAAACACAAUAAUUAGUACUAUCCUAUAUUAAAAACCAUUCAUAAGACUCUCUGUGUUUGUUUCACAGACAUCUUUAAUUGAUUGAUAACAACAACAUAUGAAGUGAUUGUUCAUUACAAAGACAAUGCUUCCCUUCUCAGGAAGAAAGAGCCCGACGGCCCUCCAUGAGGCAGCAAUGCCACCUUCACCGGAGCUUCAGCAGCUUCGACUUCACUCAGCACACCAUAGUUGAAGGUUAAAUCUGUUCUAGCAAAACCAGGACACACAGAAUUGAUGCAGAAAUUGGUGUAUUUUUGUGCUGCAAGCCAAGUAUACGCGUUGAGAGCUGCUUUCGACACUAUGUAGGCUGCAAAGUGAGGAGGCCAUUGAUUCUCUUGCAGUUUCCCCUCUUUGAAGUUGCUGAGAAAUUGCUGCACAACUUCAUCUACUCUCUCUUCUGUUAGGCUGUCUUUGCUGCUCAGCACUCCCUUUGCCCAUUCAUUAGGCAGAUGCUGCAAAUAUAUGAUCAUUGUUACUGCCUCCGUCCUAUUUAACAUGACCACUUAUUUUUUGAAAUAUAAAUUAAAUAUAAUUCAUAAUAUAACUUUAUUUUUAUAAAAAAAAUUAAUAAAAUAAUAGAUACAAGAAUGAAACACGCCGACACAUACAAAAUUAUGGGACACUAAAUCACAUCUCUCUUCUUCGUUAUACAUGUACUCCAUUCAUUGUGUAAGCUUGGAAUCCAUUAUAAAGAAAGCCCCCAUUUUGUAAGAAACAAUAAGAGAUCUAUGUUGAAUGAUCAUCUCAUCUUAAAAUUUUAUGUAUUCCCCUCAACAAUGUUUUAAUAGGAAGUGUUUGAUUUGGUGGAUGAGAUAGAUAAGAUUGAUAGGAUUGGAGGGGUGAUCAAAUAAUCCACUCAAUUUUGCGAUGAUAAACAAUCACUCAUUUGAGUGAUUAGAUGUGUGCCGAAUAAUCAAUCACGAGCUCAAUCAUGCAAACCAAACACUUGAUUAAGGUGAAUUAUUUUAUUAAUCAUAUCUUAUCAAUCAAACCGAACGCCUCCUACAAAGACAAUGCUUCCUCUCUUAGGAAGAAAGAGCCCGACGGCCCUCCAUGGGCCAGCAACGCCAACUUCACCGGAGCUUCGGCACCUUCGACUUCACUCAAUGGACCAUGAUUGAAGGUAAUAUCUGUUCUAGCAAAACCAGGACACACAGAAUUGAUGCAGAAACGCGGGUAUUUCUUCGCUGCAAGCCAAGUAUACGCGUUGAGAGCUUCCUUCGACAUUUUGUAGGCUGCAAAGUGAGGAGGCCAUUGAUUCUCUUCCAG